CAAACCAACAUAGAAGCACAUAACUCAUUAUUGGAACAAAAUCAAGCUAUUUAUAGUAUUUGUCAUACUGCUAGUAGUUUGACAGGGCUACUAGUAUUAACUCUGAAUAUAUUGCAGUUAUAAAACAAAAAAAAAAGCAAGUAGAACAAACAAUUUUCUAACUAUUUUGCAAGAUCAUCAUUGAGAUUGGAUUAACAACCACAAGUAACAUUUCCAUAUUGUUGAAAAGUUAAAAGUAUUGUGACAGUUAUUGUAUUUCUAUGGCUUUAAUACGUAAGCUAUGUAUGUUUUCAAACUUUCCUUUAGCAAUAUGAUUGACAUGACAUUUUCAAUAAAAGUACAAAUGCAUGGUCGCUUUAAACUUUUUAUUCUGUUUCCCUCUAGCUACUCUAUUUUAACAAACUUGGUUGGUAUCAUUACAUGUGACAGUCAGAGGAAAGUAUAAGCUACUGUUUUUAUUUUAUUUUAAAGCAUUCUGAAAAAUUGGUAAGAUUCAGAUCAAGUGAAUUUGCAUUUUUAAGACAAUUGGUUAUUCAUGAGAAAGUUUGAACCCCUUUUUUUGUGUGGCUAGACUGACUUGGUCAAAAAGCCUCACAAAUAACCUGCUACAAGGAAUAUACAAGUGACAAGUAUAAGUCACAUUAAAAUAAAUGAAGAACUUUGUAGAUAUAGAAGAAACACUGUAAUACAUUUCUGGCUCAGUUGAAAAUUAACAAUUUAUUAACUUGAUGCAAUACAGAAGAGGCCAAGGACCAUCAGAUGUGAAACAAGAUGCCAAUAGAAAAACAAACAAAAAGGUUUUAAAAAAAAUUAAACUUUUUCAAAUAUACUUGAUAUAGUUCAGGUUUUGUUGAGAAGCAUUGUAACUAAAUUAAGUUCAGAUUUUCAAAAACUCAACAGACAAACAUGUAUGCAGUGACUUUAUACUUUGCCAGAGACAUGUCAAUUAAAAUGACGAGACUGUACCUAAACUCAUACAAAGCAAGAGAUCCUAAACAAUCAAUGAAUUCACUUUUAAUCAUUUAACAGACGCAGAAGACAAAACUUACUGCUAGCAGCGAUUGCUCUAAUAUACAUCAUUGCCUUAAUCAUUAGUUACAAUAUUUAGCGUUGUUUUGCAAAUAAAAGAUUCAAAAUGACAAGGGUAUUACACAUUCCAGAACAGCUUAAAUAGAAAUUUUACUGACCAAUCUGUCAAACUAAAUCUAAAUGGAAUUGAUUUUAAUCACAAUAGCUAGCAGAUAAACAACUAAAUUUGAAAAAAAAAAAGUAUCCAAUGAAUCUCUUUCAAAUGAUGGUCAUUACUACAUUAUUCAAAACAGGUCAAAGGUGAGACUUGUCUCUCUUCACCAGUCACUCAAACUUAAAAAACAUGCACAUGUAGGUUUGGAAUGUGCACCAUAAAAUGAAGCCGUUACAAAUGGUACUGUUUUAUUAGAAAAAUAAUUCUGAUGAACAUUGAUUUUUUACUGACAUUGUACUUGCAGUACCUACGACUUUCAGAGACUUUUUGUUUUUUUGCUGUAGCCAACAGGGAAGGACACGGAAAAAAAAACUUACUGACUCAAUCAACUCAAUAAAACAAACCAACAACUAAGCAAGAUCAAAGUGAACAAACAGUUUUAUUACCACAGCCACAUCAUCUAAGUAUAUAUAUACAUAUUUGGGAGUCUUUAGACAUGUAGAAACACUAGUACUAAAUGGCAGCACCCCUUUCAUCAACAUCUGACUUACAAGAAAUGAUCCAGCCACAUUGAUCCUCACACCACCUCGUCAUUGCUCAUGUCUACAAGGAGAGAGUCAAUGACCCACUCUAAAAUCUUUUCAACAUCUAAA